UCCUGGCUCAGGAUGAACGCUGGCGGCGUGCCUAACACAUGCAAGUCGAACGGAGAUAUUGCUUGGAAGCUUUUCGAGGUGAAAGAGAAGUAUCUUAGUGGCGGACGGGUGAGUAACGCGUGGGCAACCUGCCUCAUACAGGGGGAUAGCAUCGGGAAACUGGUGGUAAAACCGCAUAAGCGCACGAGGACGCAUGUUUUUGUGUGAAAAGGAGAAAUCUGGUAUGAGAUGGACCCGCGUCUGAUUAGCUAGUUGGAGUGGUAAAAGCACACCAAGGCAACGAUCAGUAGCCGGCCUGAGAGGGUGGACGGCCACAUUGGGACUGAGACACGGCCCAGACUCCUACGGGAGGCAGCAGUGGGGAAUAUUGCACAAUGGAGGGAACUCUGAUGCAGCGACGCCGCGUGAGUGAAGAAGUAAUUCGUUAUGUAAAGCUCUAUCAGCAGGGAAGAAAGUGACGGUACCUGAAAAAGAAGCUCCGGCUAAAUACGUG
rnacentral:rRNA from 1 species